UACGUAGGGGGCAAGCGUUGUCCGGAAUUAUUGGGCGUAAAGAGCGCGUAGGCGGUCCGGUAAGUCGGCUGUGAAAGUCAAGGGCUCAACCCUUGAAAGCCGGCCGAUACUGUCGGACUAGAGUCCGGAAGAGGCGAGUGGAAUUCCCGGUGUAGCGGUGAAAUGCGCAGAUAUCAGGAGGAACACCCAUAGCGAAGGCAGCUUGCUGGGACGUUACUGACGCUAAGGCGCGAAAGCGUGGGGAGCGAACAGG
rnacentral:rRNA from 1 species